GACGAACGCUGGCGGCGUGCCUAAUACAUGCAAGUAGAACGCAGUUGCGAACGGGUGAAUAAAGCGUAGGUCACUGCCCGGUAGAGGGGGAUAACAACUGGUAACGCUAGCUAACACCGCACACUACCAGAUGGACCUGCGUUGUAUUAGCUAGUUGGUGGGGUAACGGCCAACCAAGGCAACGUUUGAUAGACGACCUGGGAGGGUAGUCUGCCACACUGGGGCUGGGUCACGGCCCAGACUCCUACGGGAGGCAGCAGUAGGGAAUCUUCGGGAAUGGGGGGAACGCUGACCGAGCAACGCCGCGUGAGUGAAAGAGGUGUUCGGAUCGUAAAGCUCUGUUGUUAAGGGAGCGGUACUUAACCAGAAAGGGACGGCUAACUACGUGCCAGCAGCCGCGGUAAUAC
rnacentral:rRNA from 1 species